GUGCCAUCAGCCGCGGUAAUACACAGCGGCUAACCGUUCUCCGGAUUUAUUGGGCGUAAAGAGCUCGUAGGCGGUUCAACAAGUCGGUCGUAAAAGUUUAGGGCUCAACCCUAAAAUGUCGAUCGAUACUGUUGUGACUAGGAUACGGUAGAGGUGAAUGGAAUUCCGAGUGUAGCGGUGAAAUGCGUAGAUAUUCGGAGGAACACCAAUUGCGAAGGCAGUUCACUGGACCGUGAUCGACGCUGAGGAGCGAAGGCUAGGGGAGCAAACAGGAUUAGCUA
rnacentral:rRNA from 1 species